rnacentral:lncRNA from 1 species
ACAAUUCAGUCAUACCAAUAACUGCUAUUUCCACUAAUAUAUUCACCCUCAUAAUCUCCAAUUGUAAUAUUGCGCCCUCACAGCUUUCAGCACACAAUUACCUUCAUUCCAAUCACUUGAAUUCUUUACACAAAAGUGCCAUUUAUAUUAUGGUAUUUCACACAAACACAGACUCAUUCUCUCUGCUAAACUACAAUCAAAUUUCAGCAUUCAAUCUUUUUUCUUCUCAAAUAAUACCAAUCAUAUUUCCAUUCUAUAAUUUACUUCAUAAUACUCAGAAACUCUCAAUCCUCUUAUUCAAAGAAAAUAACAAACAAAAGAAAAGAGGUAGUACCAAGCUUACUCUGGCUCACAACUAUCACAGCGAUGGCACCUU